rnacentral:rRNA from 1 species
AUUGAACGCUGGCGGCAGGCCUAACACAUGCAAGUCGAACGAGUGGCGGACGGGUGAGUAAUGUCUGGGAAACUGCCUGAUGGAGGGGGAUAACUACUGGAAACGGUAGCUAAUACCGCAUACCAUCAGAUGUGCCCAGAUGGGAUUAGCUAGUGGGUGGGGUAACGGCUCACCAAGGCGACGAUCCCGAGUUGGUCUGAGAGGAUGACCAGCCAAACUGGAACUGGGACACGGUCCAGACGCCUACGGGAGGCAGCAGUGUGGAAUAUUGCACAAUGGGCGCAAGCAUGAUGCAGCCAUGCCGAGUGUAUGAAGAAGGCCUUCGGGUUGUAAAGUACUUUCAGCGGGGAGGCGUUACCCGCAGAAGAAGCACCGGCUAACUCCGUGCCAGCAGCCGCGGUAAUUC